GGGUUGUUAGCUCAGGGGUAGAGCAGUGGACUUUUAAUCCAUUGGUCGCGGGUUCAAAUCCCUCACAACCCACCA
rnacentral:tRNA from 1 species